rnacentral:misc_RNA from 1 species
UUGAAAUCUGUCAUUAGACAGUUCAAAGUCAAAAAAUGAAUAAAGGCACAAGCGAAACCUACUGCUCCCGAGGCCGCAGCACCACCUCGGGGUACAAUUUGGCCACCAAAGGGUCAUCCACCAUCUCUGGUUAUAACAUUAACGCACCAGGAAAUCCUUCCCUUAUCAAUUACAUCCCUUCCUCUCUGGGUGGUAGCUUUAGGGCGGGCCCUUACGACGAUUGCUCAGAUGACGAUCUUGAGGAGAUUGAAAAAAGUUCCCAAACGGAGGUGGAAAAAAGCGUGAAAUUCGAAGACGAGACUUUGCACCAUUUGUGGCGAAACGUCCGGGAUUUGGCCGGACCGUGGAUCAGUCAUCGGUUCAGUUUGGGAGAGUGGGAGAGUCUGGAUCAGAGUCCUGAUAAGUCAAAUGCGGAAAAGGAAAGAGAGGAAAUUGAGAGGGACGAAGCGCCCUAUGACGGGGUGCUUACCAAGGAGGUGUUGGCCCCCAAUUUAUCCAGAGUGGGUCGGUGUCCCGAGUAUGAGCAUUAUGCUUACACUAAGUGUAUUUUAUCAAAAAAGAAACUGGUAAACAUCGAUUUGCUUCAAAAGUAUCAUUACCUUCAAUACGUGGACGUGAGCAAUAACGCCCUGACAACCCUUACGGCCCUCGGGAAUUUACCGUUUUUGAAAAUCCUCGACGCCUCCCACAACCUUCUCCCGACCAUUUUGGACUUUUACCCGCCAUUUUUCCUCACCAACGUCAAUUUGUCUUAUAACAAGAUCCGAACCAUGAGGAACCUCAGGGACUUUUGGUCCAUAACUGACCUAAAUUUGGCGCAUAAUUUUAUAAGAAGAAUCGAUGGUAUAAAGGAACUGCGGUACUUGACCACCUUGAACUUGUCAUUUAAUCGUAUUGGUGCGGUGGAAAACCUCGAAGGUACCCGGCUUCAAUUCCUGUACCUGCAAAAUAACUUCAUAAACACCCCCGAGAUGGAGUGGAAUCAGGCGGAACUUCACACCUUAAAAAAUAUCAGGACCAUCAAUUUAAGUUACAACCAAGUUUCUUCAUUGCAGAUGUUCGAAGCGGUUGAAAACUUGGAAUGUCUGGAACUGGUGCAUAACAACGUUUCGAAGCUCCUGGACAUUUAUUACUUAAGGAAUUUGAACUAUUUGAAUAAGUUGAAUCUUACGAGUAAUCCUGUCACUGAAAUACAGCGGUAUGUGGAAGUUUGCCUUACCCAUUUGAAGAUGUUAAGCGUAUUGGACGGAGAGCAAAUCAAUUCUGACUUUUGGUUGGAGAGAUUUAGCUACGAAAAGACCGAUAUGAGUCAAAUGGCGAAUCAUAAUAGGAUUCGUUUACUCAUUUUGGAACAGUUGAAUCCACCCAAGAUUUUACCCUGGUUACUCCCGUAUGACGCUGCACCCAUAGCAGUAAUCGUAUUAGUUGGACUUCAGGCUUCCAGUCGCACCCAUAUCGCUCGAAAGUAUUGCAAGCAGAAUCCGAAUGUUAUCCUUGGUAUUGCUCAUACGACCAAAGCAAAACACUCCAAUGAGAAACAGGAUGAAGUUUACCAUUACGUGAGCGAAGAAACGUUCAAGUCUAUGCUGAAAAAGGGCGAAUUCUUUACUUACCAAGAGAACCUUGGGUGUUACUAUGGUGUUGCUCACACCGAGUUCAAGAAAGCUGAAAAGGGAAUACUCCUAUUUUGUACAGAUCUCACCCUGGCAAUAGUGCUGAAAAGAAAGUUUAUUAAUACAGUCUUAGUGCUUAGUUUGGCGAGCACCCGAAGUGCCCACUUGCAAAGGCUAAGCAACCUUUACGCUGUCAAAUUCGUUGAUAGUUACACGUCAAAAAUCCUCACGUCGCCCUUGGUCGCCGCCGAAUACCAACUGCAAUUCACCAAAGAAAGGGAGAGAAUCCUGGAACAGGAGGCCCACGAGGUUCUGGAAGAGAUGGUGAAAAAAGUGGCCAAGAUUUACGAUAACAUGAUGGUCCAGAGGAGGCUCGAGACGACCAAGUAUCGUCACACUUCAAACGACGAUUUGUUAAGAUGUUCACAGGACGAAACCAGUUUGAAACUGUGGUGGGCUUCUAGCCCCAAGAAUUCUCAUCGGCUGAGUUUAAUGAUCCAACCGAUUCAAGCAGAAAGAGGCUCUAAAUAUUCGGAGAAGAUUGAUGGACAAUCUAAGGCAAACCUGGAAAGUGCGAUGAAUUGCGUUCAAAUGAAACGUCUGGUGUCAUUCAGGGUGAAAAGCUCGAUCGACUCCUCUGAUUCGCCUCACAAAGUGCCGGUCAGUUGUGCAGUUAUCGAUAAAAGUGUAUUAAAAAAACCGUCGAAAAGUAAAUUAAAGAAGGAUAAGAACAAGAAGAAGGCGACGCUUGCCAAAAUGUCCGAGGAACAGGAGCGGACUUACCUUAUAGCCGAGGCCGCUUUGAGGAAUCAUUACACUUAUGCCGAGUGUCACGUGAUGACAGGAUGACGAACGUUUUUAACGCGGAAUUACGGCAAAGAGAAGAACUUUUAGAGCUUCAUUUACAGUUCCCGGGUUUUUUUAGGGAACUGUUAUUCACCGACCAGGAAGAAGAAUCCUUAGAGAAACUGGACCGUUUAAUAAAAGACAUUAUAAAACACGACACGAUCACUAAAGAAACGAUAAUGGUGCCUAGUGCUAAUGAACGUUUUGGGAUCGCUAUCAAACGGAAAAUUUCCA